rnacentral:snRNA from 1 species
AUACUACAAAAAUACAAAAUGAUCACACGGGUGUUUUCCCCAGGGCAUGGUGUCCCUUGCUCUUAGGAUGUGCUCUGAUUUCCCUGAAUGUGGGAAGUCCGACUGCACAGCUGUGGUCGUGGGGGGGCUGUAUUUCUGCUCACCCCU